GACGAACCGUGCGAACGGUGUUCGGAAUCACUGGGCUUAAAGGGCGCGUAGGCGGUCUGCCAAGUCCGGGGUGAAAGCCCCCAGCUCAACUGGGGAAGUGCCUUGGAUACUGGCGGACUUGAGGGAGGCAGGGGUUGUGGGAACUUCCGGUGGAGCGGUGAAAUGCGUUGAUAUCGGAAGGAACGCCGGUGGCGAAAGCGCACAACUGGUCCUCUUCUGACGCUGAGGCGCGAAAGCCAGGGGAGCAAACGGG
rnacentral:rRNA from 1 species